rnacentral:rRNA from 1 species
GACGAACGCUGGCGGCGUGCCCAAUACAUGCAAGUAGAACGCUGAGGACUGGUGCUUGCACUGGUCUAAGGAGUUGCGAACGGGUGAGUAACGCGUAGGUAACCUACCUCAUAGCGGGGGAUAACUAUUGGAAACGACUGCUAAUACCGCAUAAGACCACAGCACCGCAUGGUGCAGGGGUAAAAACUCCGGUGGUAUGAGAUGGAUCCGCGUCUGAUUAGCUAGUUGGUAAGGUAACGGCUUACCAAGGCAACGAUCAGUAGCCGACCUGAGAGGGUGACCGGCCACAUUGGGACUGAGACACGGCCCAA